AUUGAACGCUGGCGGCGUGCUUAACACAUGCAAGUCGUGCGGUAACAGGCGUAGCAAUACGUGCUGACGAGCGGCGAACGGGUGCGUAAUACAUGGGAAUCUGCCCUUUAGUGGGGAAUAACCCGGCGAAAGCCGGGCUAAUGCCGCAUAAGAUCUUCGGAUGAAAGCGGGGGAUCGUAAGACCUCGCGCUGAUGGAUGAGCCCAUGUCGGAUUAGCUAGUUGGUGAGGUAACGGCUCACCAAGGCGACGAUCCGUAGCUGGUCUGAGAGGACGGCCAGCCACACUGGGACUGAGACACGGCCCAGACUCCUACGGGAGGCAGCAGUGGGAAUAUUGGACAAUGGGCGAAAGCCUGAUCCAGCGACGCCGCGUGUGUGAAGAAGGCCUGCGGGUUGUAAAGC
rnacentral:rRNA from 1 species